AUUGAACGCUGGCGGCAUGCCUUACACAUGCAAGUCGAACGGUAACAGGUCUUCGGAUGCUGACGAGUGGCGAACGGGUGAGUAAUACAUCGGAACGUGCCCGAUCGUGGGGGAUAACGGAGCGAAAGCUUUGCUCAUACCGCAUACGAUCUACGGAUGAAAGCAGGGGACCGCAAGGCCUUCCGCGGACGGAGCGGCCGAUGGAAGAUUAGGUAGUUGGUGGGAUAAAAGCUUACCAAGCCGACGACCUGUAGCUGGUCUGUCAGGACGACCAGCCACACUGGGACUGAGACACGGCCCAGACUCCUACGGGAGGCAGCAGUGGGGAAUUUUGGACAAUGGGCGAAAGCCUGAUCCAGCCAUGCCGCGUGCAGGAUGAAGGCCUUCGGGUUGUAAACUGCUUUUGUACGGAACGAAAAGACUCUUUCUAAUAAAGAGGGUCCAUGACGGUACCGUAAGAAUAAGCACCGGCUAACUACGUGCCAGCAGCCGCAGUAA
rnacentral:rRNA from 1 species